rnacentral:lncRNA from 1 species
UGUUUUUAAGGGUGGGUAAAUGAUGCCUGUUUUUGUGUCUAUAGGCUAGAAAUAUGAAGAAAGAGAGAUGUUUUUCUGGGAAAACAUGCAGAUUCACAAGUUUCCAGUGGCAGCCUCGUGUCACAGAGAAAGGGCUUAGACCACGGUUCCUACAUAGCCGGUUGCUACGAUGCAAGAGACUGGCUUCUCUGAAUCGCCGCCUCUGGAGUUCUAGUCAUUGGCAAGGGGAGCAAAGUGUUUGGCCGAACUCUUUCACGUCACUUAGAAGUAUAACAUUAAUAAUCGAAACCAGGCUCUGGCAGGAAUGCUGGUAAGUACAG